AUGAAAGGGUUAAGUUACGGAGUAGCUGUUCGGUGCUACCCUGUCGUUCCCCCUGCACAUAGGAAUCUGAUUCUUUACUAUCCCUGUCUGUCAUCCUCCUAGGACUGCCAGGGACGCUUGGUUUCAGACAU